UACGAAGGGGGCUAGCGUUGCUCGGAAUUACUGGGCGUAAAGCGCUUGUAGGCGGCACGUCAAGUCGCGUGUGAAAUCCCCAGGCUUAACCUGGGAAGUGCGCGCGAAACUGACGAGCUUGAGUGCCGGAGAGGGUCGCGGAAUUCCCGGUGUAGAGGUGAAAUUCGUAGAUAUCGGGAGGAACACCAGUGGCGAAGGCGGCGACCUGGACGGACACUGACGCUGAGACGCGAAAGCGUGGGGAGCAAACAGG
rnacentral:rRNA from 1 species